rnacentral:rRNA from 1 species
UAGGGAAUCUUCGGCAAUGGGGGGAACCCUGACCGAGCAACGCCGCGUGAGUGAAGAAGGUUUUCGGUUCGUAAAACUCUGUUGUUAGAGAAGAACAGCGCAUAGAGUAACUGUUAUGCGUGUGACGGUAUCUAACCAGAAAGCCACGGCUAACUACGUGCCAGCAGCCGCGGUAAUACGUAGGUGGCAAGCGUUGUCCGGAUUUAUUGGGCGUAAAGCGCGCGUAGGCGGUUUUUUAAGUCUGAUGUGAAAGCCCACGGCUCAACCGUGGAGGGUCAUUGGAAACUGGAAAACUUGAGUGCAGAAGAGGAAAGUGGAAUUCCAUGUGUAGCGGUGAAAUGCGCAGAGAUAUGGAGGAACACCAGUGGCGAAGGCGACUUUCUGGUCUGUAACUGACGCUGAUGUGCGAAAGCGUGGGGAUCAAACAGG